UGCCCUUGCAGACAAUUUAACACAAUUUGAUUAAUGUUGCGAGUGGUUCGCAACAAGCACGAUGUUGAAAAUGUAACAUAUUUGGAGCUAAAUGUUGGACAGCCUUUGCCAAAUAAACAACAACAAAUAUUAAUUAAAUUGAUCGACCAAAGUCAAUUAAUUGCAACGUUUUUGGUUAAUUAAAGUCAUUGAAAUAUUUACAUGAGUUCACCCAUGAGCCUAUGUAUGUGUGUGGGUGGAUCGGCCAAUAGGCCUGACACACAAUUCAAUUAAUUAAAAUGUUUUUCCUCUGCAGGCACUUCAUGUGUUUCCCUUUUUUGUCGACAUUUCUCCACGAUAAUUGGCCUCAGGUGCGACAGUUGGUAAUUAAGCGAAAAGCAAAAAGCUGCCGUGUACAAAAACUCAUUCAUUUAUGUAAUAGAAAAUAUCGAUAGCCCACGGCUUUCAACACUGCAACCGGAAGUCACCUCUGUAGUCGAUCGAACCGGAUGAUCCUUAUGCAAAUUUUUACAUUGGACCAAUUUCUCAAAUUCCAAUAUUGACAGAAAUUGGCGGAUAAGAUUCUUCAUGUUCCCUAAAAAAAUUGGCGGUUUCCAACACUGCAACCGAAAGCACACCGUUUUGUUUCUCCAUUUUGGCGUUCCAGUUUUGGAAAGAAUUUAAGCACAUUUUAAUCCGAGAGAUCAUGUUUGAAAGUUGGUUCGAAAGUGGACUGGAGCCCGAGGAAAUCCAGGGAGCUGUGAAGCAAGAUGGCGUGCUGAUGAUUAUUUUGAAGUUCAAGGGCCAGGAAGAGCCAGUAUUGAUUCCGGCAACGGAGGUCAACCAGCGGAUACCGCAGAUGGUAAUCAAGUUUUACGAGGAGCGCCUGUACAUGCCCAAGAGUGAGGACGAAGAUAUGAAGGACUGGAGGAGGAUUCCGCGCGGCUUGGAUAAUUAAAUUCAAUUCUAUGCCACUCGAAA